UGGGGAAUAUUGCACAAUGGGCGAAAGCCUGAUGCAGCGACGCCGCGUGAGGGACGACGGCCUUCGGGUUGUAAACCUCUUUCGACAGGGACGAAGCGAGAGUGAUGGUACCUGUAUAAGAAGCACCGGCCAACUACGUG
rnacentral:rRNA from 1 species